UCGACCUCAGAUCAGACGAGAUG
rnacentral:rRNA from 1 species